rnacentral:rRNA from 1 species
UACGUAGGGGGCAAGCGUUGUCCGGAAUUAUUGGGCGUAAAGAGCACGCAGGCGGUUUGGCAAGUCGGAUGUGAAAACCCGAAGCUCAACUUCGGGCCUGCAUCCGAAACUGCCCGACUAGAGGUAGGUAGGGGAGAUCGGAAUUCCCGGUGUAGCGGUGAAAUGCGCAGAUAUCAGGAGGAACACCGGUGGCGAAGGCGGAUCUCUGGGCCUUACCUGACGCUCAGGUGCGAAAGCUAGGGGAGCGAACAGG